CGGCCGGGCGAACGGGCUCGGCGCGCAGGUGGCUCCUCCUUCGCUUCUCCCGAUCCCCGGCCGUGCCAGGCACGGUGCCGGCUGCCGAGGGAACGCCUUUGUGCCCGGUCCUGGGAACCCGCGACGGCCGCCGCGCGCCCCGGUCCAUUGUUUCGCUUCUCUGGGUUCCAGGUAGGUGCGGGCGGCGCGCGGGGUCCGCACGACGUGUCACCCCGGCGGUUGGGGCGCCGGGACCCGCGGGCGCCGGCAGGGGCGUUCCCGGGCGCACGGCGGCGGUGCAGCACCUGAAGCGGUGGUGGUCGGCCAGCGGCGGCCUCCUGCACCUCACCCUCCUGCACCUUACCCUCCUGCUGAGCUUUGCUGGGCUCCGUGUAGACCUAGACCUUUACCUGCUACUGCCGCCGCCCACCCUGCUCCGGGACGAGCUGCUGUUCCUGGGCGGCCCGGCCAGCUCCGUCUACGCGCUCAGCCCCUUCUCGGCCUCGGGAGGGAGGGGGCGCGCGGGCCAGUUGCACCCCAAGGGCCGGGAGCUGGACUCUGCCGCGCCGCCCGAGGGCCCGCUGCUCCGGGAGGUGCGCGCUCGGGGUCCCCUUCAUCCCUCUCACCCCGGUGGAUGCGUGGCUGGUGCACAGCGUGGCUGCCAGGAGAGCGGACGAGGCCCACGGGCUGCUCGGCGCCGCCGCCGCCUAGUCCACCGGAGGAGCCGGCGCCAGCGUGGACGGCGGCAGCCAGGCUGUGCAGGGGGGCUGCGGGGACUCCCGAGCGGCUCGGAGUGGCCCCUUGGACGCCGGGGAAGAGGAGAAGGCACCCGCGGAACCGACGGCUCAGGUGCCGGACGCUGGCGGAUGUGCGAGCGGGGAGAACGAGGUACUAAGAGAAAAGCACGAAGCUGUGGAUCAUAGUUCCCAGCGUGAGGAAAAUGAAGAAAGGGUGUCAGCCCAGAAGGAGAACUCACUUCAGCAGAAUAAUGAUGAUGAAAACAAAAUAGCAGAGGAACCUGAUUGGGAGGCAGAAAAGACCACUGAAUCUAGAAAUGAGAGACAUCUGAAUGGGACAGAUACUUAUUUCUCUCUGGAAGACUUAUUCCAGUUGCUUUCAUCACAGCCUGAAAAUUCACGGAGGGCUUCUCAUUGGGAGAUAUUCCUCUUCCAGGCAGUAUCAGUGAUGGCAUGAAUUCUUCAGCACAUUAUCACGUAAACUUCAGCCAGGCUAUAAGUCAUGAUGUGAAUCUUCAUGAGGCCAUCUUGCUUUGUGCCAACAGUACAUUUAGAAGAGAUCCAAUAGCAAGGACUUCACAGUCACAAGAACCGUUUCUAAAGUUAAAUUCUCAUACCACCAAUCCUGAGCAAACCCUUCCUGGAACUAAUUUGACAGGAUUUCUUUCUCCGGUUGACAAUCUUUUUUUUUUUUUUUUUUUUUUUUUUGAGACGGAGUCUCGCUCUGUCGCCCAGGCUGGAGUGCAGUGGCGCGAUCUCGGCUCACUGCAAGCUCCGCCUCCCGGGUUCACGCCAUUCUCCUGCCUCAGCCUCCCGAGUAGCUGGGACUACAGGCGCCCGCUACCACGCCCGGCUAAUUUUUUGUAUUUUUAGUAGAGACGGGGUUUCACCGUGUUAGCCAGGAUGGUCUCGAUCUCCUGACCUCGUGAUCCGCCCGCCUCGGCCUCCCAAAGUGCUGGGAUUACAGGCGUGAGCCACCGCGCCCGGCCCUCCGGUUGACAAUCUUAUGAGGAAUCUAACAAGCCAAGACCUACUGUAUGACCUUGAUGUAAAUAUAUUUGAUGAGAUAAUGUCAUUGGCCACAGAAGACGACUUUGAUCCAAUCGAUGUUUCUCAGCUUUUUGAUGAAUCAGAUUCUGAUUCUGACCUGUCUUUAGAUUCAAGUCACAAUAGUACCUCUGUCAUCAAGUCUAAUUCCUCUCACUCUGUGUGUGAUGAAGGUGCUAUAGGUUAUUGUACUGACCAUGAAUCUAGUUCCCAUCAUGACUUAGAAGGUGCUGUAGGCAGCUACUACCCAGAACCCAGUAAGCUUUGUCACUUGGAUCAAAGUGAUUCUGGUUUCCAUGGGGAUCUUACAUUUCAACACAUAUUUCAUAACCACACUUACCACUUGCAGCCAAGUGCACCAGAAUCUACUUCUGAACCUUUUUCGUGGCCUGGGAAGUCACAGAAGAUAAGGAGUAGGUACCUUGAAGACACAGAUAGAAACUUGAACGUGAUGAACGGCGUGCUAAAGCUUUGCAUAUCCCUUUUUUCUGUAGAUGAAAUUGUCGGCAUGCCUGUUGAUUCAAUAGCAUGUUAAGUAGGUACUAUCUGACAGACCUACAAGUCUCACUUAUCCGUGAUAUCAGACGAAGAGGGAAAAAUAAAGUUGCUGCGCAGAACUAUCGUAAACGCAAAUUGGACAUAAUUUUGAAUCUAGAAGAUGAUGUAUGUAACUUGCAAGCAAAGAAGGAAACUCUUAAGAGAGAGCGAGCACAAUGUAUCAAAGCUAUUAACAUAAUGAAACAAACUGCAUGACCUUUAUCAUGAUAUUUUUAGUAGAUUAAGAGAUGACCAAGGUAGGCCAGUCAAUCCAAACCACUAUGCUCUUCAGUGUACCCAUGAUGGAAGUAUCUUGAUAGUACCCAAAGAACUGGUAGCCUCAGGCCAGAAAAAGGAAACCCAAAAGGGAAAGAGAAAGUGAGAAGAAACUGAAGAUGGACUCUAUUACGUGAAGUAGUAAUGUUCAGAAACUGAUUAUUUGGAUCACAAACCAUUGAAACUGCUUCAAAAAUUAUAUCUUUAAGUACUGCUACUUGAAUAACUCAGUUAAGGCUCUGUUUUGAAGCUUACAUGGACAAAUGUUUAGGACUUCAAGAUCACACUUGUGGGAAAUCUGGGGGAGCCAUAACUUUUCAUGAAAUGCAUUGUAUACAAAAUUCAUAGUUAUGUCCAAAGAAUAGGUUAACAUGAAAACCCAAUAAGACUUUCCAUCUUGGCAGCCAUCCUUUUUAAGAGUAAGUCGGUUACUUCAAAAAGAGCAAACACUGGGGAUCAAAUUGUUUUAAGAGGUAUUUCAGUUUUAAAUGCAAAAUAGCCUUAUUUUCAUUUAGUUUGUUAGCACUAUAGUGAGCUUUUCAAAUACUAUUUUAAUCUUUAUAUUUAACUUAUAAAUUUUGCUUUCUAUGGAAAUAAAUUUUGUAUUUGUAUUAAAAAUAAACUUCCCUUUUAUACAG
rnacentral:lncRNA from 1 species